GAACAAGAAUGACUUGUUAGUCAUUCUUUUUAAAUUACUACUUCACUUUAUCAGAUUUGUAUUUUACUUUGGUCUAUCCUUCUCUGAACUAGCAGUCACAGCUGUCCUGGGUUAGUCUGACAGAGGCAUCAUGUGUCACCGGGCCCUCUGACCAGCAGGGUAGGCGUGUGAAGUGUCUUGCCCAAAGACACAACAACAAAGGCGCACAGAGCUGGGAUCGAACUGACAACUGUUGUGGAAAUUUUCCUUUAACAAAGAAUGAGGCAGAGAACCAGAGAAAGAAUAUAUUCUUAAUCAGUAUUUAUUUGAAGGCUUAACAGUGUUUGAAGUCUCUGCUCACUGAACGCAGUCAGGAGAAAGAGCCCCGAGCAGAACACAGCUUACAGUUUUAUAGGGAGAGUUUCAAUCCGAUCACAUAGUUUGAUAAUCUACUUGGUUACAGAACAGACUGCUG